UGAAUACAACCUGGAAAAGCAAACCUGUCAAUUAAGUGACGUCAAUAGAUGGACAGAGAGUCAUUAUUUCUUACAAGAUAUACCCGGCUGGGACUACUACCACAGAAAAUGUUACUUUGGCAUCGACGAUUAUCCAUUUACAACCACACCAACAAUUGAGGACUACACAACAGAGAGUACGAAACAGGAAACACUAUCUAGCACACAGCCCCCUACUACAGAGGAACCGUUUGAGGUGUUAAAACGAGAAUUGGAAGAGAUUGGGGAGAAGA